rnacentral:rRNA from 1 species
GACGAACGCUGGCGGCGUGCUUAACACAUGCAAGUCGAACGGAAAGGCCCUGCUUUUGUGGGGUGCUCGAGUGGCGAACGGGUGAGUAACACGUGAGUAACCUGCCCUUGACUUUGGGAUAACUUCAGGAAACUGGGGCUAAUACCGGAUAGGAGCUCCUGCUGCAUGGUGGGGGUUGGAAAGUUUCGGCGGUUGGGGAUGGACUCGCGGCUUAUCAGCUUGUUGGUGGGGUAGUGGCUUACCAAGGCUUUGACGGGUAGCCGGCCUGAGAGGGUGACCGGCCACAUUGGGACUGAGAUACGGCCCAGACUCCUACGGGAGGCAGCAGUGGGGAAUAUUGCACAAUGGGCGGAAGCCUGAUGCAGCAACGCCGCGUGCGGGAUGACGGCCUUCGGGUUGUAAACCGCUUUCGCCUGUGACGAAGCGUGAGUGACGGUAAUGGGUAAAGAAGCACCGGCUAACUACGUGCCAGCAGCCGCGGUGAUACGUAGGGUGCGAGCGUUGUCCGGAUUUAUUGGGCGUAAAGGGCUCGUAGGUGGUUGAUCGCGUCGGAAGUGUAAUCUUGGGGCUUAACCCUGAGCGUGCUUUCGAUACGGGUUGACUUGAGGAAGGUAGGGGAGAAUGGAAUUCCUGGUGGAGCGGUGGAAUGCGCAGAUAUCAGGAGGAACACCAGUGGCGAAGGCGGUUCUCUGGGCCUUUCCUGACGCUGAGGAGCGAGAGCGUGGGGAGCGAACAGGCUUAGAUACCCUGGUAGUCCACGCUGUAAACGGUGGGUACUAGGUGUGGGGUCCAUUCCACGGGUUCCGUGCCGUAGCUAACGCUUUAAGUACCCCGCCUGGGGAGUACGGCCGCAAGGCUAAAACUCAAAGGAAUUGACGGGGCCCCGCACAAGCGGCGGAGCAUGCGGAUUAAUUCGAUGCAACGCGUAGAACCUUACCUGGGUUUGACAUGGAUCGGGAGUGCUCAGAGAUGGGUGUGCCUCUUUUGGGGUCGGUUCACAGGUGGUGCAUGGCUGUCGUCAGCUCGUGUCGUGAGAUGUUGGGUUAAGUCCCGCAACGAGCGCAACCCUUGUUCACUGUUGCCAGCACGUUAUGGUGGGGACUCAGUGGAGACCGCCGGGGUCAACUCGGAGGAAGGUGGGGAUGACGUCAAGUCAUCAUGCCCCUUAUGUCCAGGGCUUCACGCAUGCUACAAUGGCUGGUACAGAGAGUGGCGAGCCUGUGAGGGUGAGCGAAUCUCGGAAAGCCGGUCUCAGUUCGGAUUGGGGUCUGCAACUCGACCUCAUGAAGUCGGAGUCGCUAGUAAUCGCAGAUCAGCAACGCUGCGGUGAAUACGUUCCCGGGGCU